CCUAGUAAAAAAGCUAGAAUUACAACAUAAGACCAGAAGACCCUGUGAAGCUUAAACAAAACUAUUAAACCAUAUAAUAACUACUUUCGGUUGGGGCGACCUUGGAAAAAAAGAGAACUUCCAAAUAAAAUGACUAUACCUCAUUAACCCAAACAGGCCAACAAGCCAAAAAUGACCCAGCACAGCUGAUAAUUGAACCAAGUUACUCCAGGGAUAACAGCGCAAUCUUCUUCAAGAGCCCAUAUCAAAAAGAAGGUUUACGACCUCGAUGUUGGAUCAGGACAUCCUAAUGGUGCAGCCGCUAUUAAGGGUUCGUUUGUUCAACGAUUAAUA
rnacentral:rRNA from 1 species